AACGAACGCUGGCGGCGUGCCUAACACAUGCAUGUCGAACGGAAUUAGAGAGCUUGCUCUUUAAUUUAGUGGCGCACGGGUGAGUGACGCGUAGAUAAUCUGCCUGAUGAUCUGGGAUAACAUGUCGAAAGGGGUGCUAAUACCGGAUAAGCGCACGGUGUCUACGGACAUUGCGGGAAAAGGGGGGGAGCUUAGGGCGUUGUUGCAUCAGAUGAUGCUGCGUACCAUUAGCUAGGUGGUGGGGUAAGAGCCUAUCAAGGCGACGAUGGGUAGCUGGUCUGAGAGGAUGAUCAGCCACACUGGAACUGAGACACGGUCCAGACUCCUACGGGAGGCAGCAGUGGGGAAUUUUGCGCAAUGGGCGAAAGCCGGACGCAGCAACGCCGCGUGAGUGAUGAAGGCCUUCGGGUCGUAAAGCUCUGUCAAUGGGAAAGAAAUGUAUUGUGUCUAAUAUGCAUGAUACUUGACGGUACCCAUAAAGGAAGCACCGGCUAACUCCGUGCCAGCCGCCGCCGUAA
rnacentral:rRNA from 1 species